rnacentral:misc_RNA from 1 species
GAAAUGCGAUAAGUAAUGUGAAUUGCAGAAUUCAGUGAAUCAUCGAAUCUUUGAACGCACAUUGCGCCCCCUGGUAUUCCGGGGGGCAUGCCUGUUCGAGCGUCAUUUCACCACUCAAGCCUCGCUUGGUAUUGGGCGACGUGGUCCGCCGCGCGCCUCAAAUCGACCGGCUGGGUCUUCCGUCCCCUCAGCGUUGUGGAAACUAUUCGCUAAAGGGUGCCGCGGGAGGUCACGCCGCAAAACAACCCCAUUUCUAAGGUUGACCUCGGAUCAGGUAGGGAUACCCGCUGAACUUAAGC